UAUUUUUUUCGUUAUCUUUUGGACUCAAAUAUGUGACAAGAGUAAGACUCUAUAAACGACAGCUAUUUUAUCGUGGUGCGCCAUCAAAUAAUGUGUCCUAUCAUUUCUAAGUUGAGCCACGAAGGUCAACGUUUCCGAUGCAUACCACCAAAACUCCUCCCUCGUGGUGCACCAUCAAAUAAUCGUCAAUCCACUCGUUAAUAUGUGUGAUGAUACGCUUAUCAGCGAUAUCAGUAGAUGUUGAAUCAACUCUUCAGGUUUCAAUGAUAUCGAUAGUAUACUUAGCUAGUUUCUCCCCCAUGAAAUCGAUAGAGCUUCCUCCCAAGGUAUUCAAGAUCUUAUUGGCUUCUACAUAUGAAGCAAUCAUUACUCAUGUAGCAAACUUGUUAAUCUUCUAUAUUUUCAUUACAUAUAAUAUUUUACGUACAAGUAAGUCAAAUGACAUGACAUGACAUAUGAUAUAACUGAGUAAGUAAGAAAUUACGUAUAACAAUUAAGUCAAAUGACAUAGUAACCAUUCGUGAUUGUUGUCUCAUAUUU
rnacentral:sRNA from 1 species